UUGUCCAGACCUAACCUGCCUGAUUUUCUUUUCCUGACCCUUGUCCCUGUUAAACAAACUGUCCUCGAUCUGUUUCUUUAGGUUAAAGAUUUCUGGACCUGUUCUUAAAGGUUAGUGUUGAGAGCCUCAGUGAGGAAUCGUCCAGCCAGGGCAUGAUAGUCCACCCCUGCAAACUGCUGAUUAAAAAACCGUGGGUGACCUGAAAGAGACAGGAAAAGAGUUUUUGAUGAGUUUCCCCCGUCGCUGCCUGAGAGCUUCCAUGUGCUCGCUCUUCCUGGCUUUUCUAUGACCGGUGUGUUUGCUGUGAGCCGACCAGCCUCCACUGCCCACUUCGUACUUUUUUCUGUGACAUUGUAAAUAAACUCCUUUGUGUGUAUAUUCACCAGUGGCCUGUCUCUGCUCUGGGGUCCAAACAAACAAAACCUGGUCUGUCAGAAAGUAGCCUCGUCGAUUAUAAUUGGACUGAUCCUAGAUUCUUGUGGCAAAUGUGGCAAACAGUAUUUGAGAAUGUACAAAAUGAUGACAAUUUAAUGACCAUUUAAAAAACAACAAAACAUGAACAAUAGGGAUGCAAAACCAAACUGUAAAAAAAUGAACCAUUCACUGCACAAACCAAUGUCCAGUUUUGCACAUGUGUCACAGUUUUUGAAUCCACAAGGAAACAAAAGUUGUUGCUUCAUCAUUAUUUAAGUCUGCUUUGUUGGAACAUUUUGUAACUAGCAUUGAAUACAAUAGUGACUUAAAAAAAACAAAACAACUGUCUGCAAAUAUGAUAAUGGUAACACAUCUAAAACGAUGGGGCAUCCUUGGCAAGAACAAGCAGGACUCGGAAGGUAAAAAUAACUCUCCUUCCUGCUGAGUGUAUUAUUACAUUUCAUGUUUGCAAUAAAAACA